AAAGAAAAAAAAAAGGAAAUACUUUUAGAAAAUUAAAUUUUCAUUUUCGUACAUCUUUUGCUUCAUAAAACUCCUCACCAUAUUUCAUUUAUCGAUUUUUCCGUUAGCAUAUUUCAAUGAAAAAUGUUCAUUCCAGUAUUUUUCCCAUUCCCGAAGAAUAUUUUCAAAUAAAAAUAAAUGGUUAAGCUCAUUCUUUUUCUUUUAGAAAUCUCCUCAUUCAAUUCAUAAAACCACCUUUGCUGACAAUGUGCAUCCCCAACGCCCCCAAGUGUCUAAACCACUAAUAAACUGUCUUCGCAUUCCAUCCUACUCCUUCUUUCAUCCUUUUCACUUGCUCUCGCGCUUCUUUUGAUGCUGAAGAUGAAGGGACUAUGUUGAAGUUUGGAGUUGCAUUUUACUAUUUGAUGAAGUGGAGCAUUCUUAAUGAUUUAAUAUUGUGCGAAGAUUUAUUCGGUGAAAUUGUUGAUUCAUACUGAUUUGAGAAAAUAAUAAAAUUUAGUUGCAGAUGAUUAGAUGGGUUCUCAAGAAAUGAUAUACGUGUAAAUUGCAGUUCUGUUGUGAACUUUUAUGCAGUCUGAAGGAUGAUAAUCUUCCUCUUAUUUCUGGCGACUGUGCUAAGUUUUAACUCUACUGCAACAAAAGUUGAACCAUGUGAUUUUAACCCGUUGUGCACCUGUCGGAAAGCUCAUCACGAAGUUGUUUGCAGAUCGGUUCCUUUUUCCAUAUUUCCACAGAUGAGAAGAGCCGAUAUAUAUAAGGUAAGUUUUAAAAAAACUAUUUUGAAAUUUAACAUAAAAGAAUUAAUUUGA